AUCUCCUGAAGAGUUUUAAUUUGUGCUUCAAUAAACUCAGUCAGUGACUUCCAUACAAUACAUGAAGUUAUAAGAUAUUUAAAAUGUCCUGUGUCAUCUAACCUAUGAAUCUUCAUCUAAGGAUGUUUUCUGAUAUAAUUAUAUAUUCUGAUAGUUGUGUCUACAAACAUAAAUCUUAUCUGUCAGCAGAAAGCAACAGUGAAUAAUUUCUUGGUAGACUCCUAGAAAUGACCUGUAUCAUUUCCAAUUUAACUUUACUCAUAAAGAUAGAAGACAGUUCUACAUUUUUAGGGUCAUUUGCUAUACAUUUUUAAUUUCUAUUUAUCCUUUAAGCUUUCUGACUGUAUUAACACCACUGUAGUUCUAAUGGACUUAAUUACAGUUAGCAAAUUCAGGCUCUUCUGCCAUAGUGUCCUUUCAAAACCAUAACUCAGAAUACACUUAUAAGAAUUUAGAAUGCAUAUUAAAGCUUUGAAAAUAUAGCCUUUCCAUACAAUUUGCUUUUAUUAAUGUUAGUCUGAACAGAGGCUGAAAAUAAUGGAUCUAACUUGAUUUGUUGUCUUUUCAACAAGUCUUCAGUCCUCUAAGCAAUACAGAGAAUAAGAAAUUCUUUAACAUUAGAUGUUUACUGUAAUCUUCUCUAAAAUUAACAUAUAUAAGAAAAUAAAAAUUGUUACCUGCAGUGUUUUAGGAUGUUUUCUUUAUAUGUUUAAUGUAUGUUAUAUAUCAUAUAAAUAUUAUAUUUAGGCAUUAUUUGUGUGUAAAUAUGUUGCAAAUAUAUAUUGCAUUGCAUAACGUAACAAAACAAACAUAAACUGUGUCUGAGAAAAUUUGACACAUAGCUAAACUUAAUUGGUCAAAAUGACCAAAUAAAUAGGCAAUGUAAGAUAUUAUCCUGCAGUUGGUAGUUCAAGAAGUAUACUAAAAGCUUAUGACAGUACUUUAGCAUCUCACUCUGUUGCAGUGAGCCAACUCCACCUCAAGAAAAAGAAAAAAGAAAAUUCCCAUUUCUUGAUGGCUACAAGUAGGUUUCAACAAAGGAGAGUUUGUCAUUAGAGUGAAAAAUUACUAAGUAGUCUUUCCUGAUAAAUUAACCAUUCACAGAAAUAUUUUGUGUGGGAUUAAAUCUUUGUACAGUUUAUCUUAGGGUGUUUUUAAAAGCAUUUUUACUCAAAUUCCUGAGAGGUACGUAAUCUCCCAAAGAGAAAAUUCUGAGCCAAAGGAGUCAAUUGGCUUUUCAAGGAGUAUUAUAUUCUCAGAAAACUCCUCUUUCUAUAUGUACCCACAAAGAGUUUAUUUUAAAUAAUCUUGUUCAAAAGUAAUCAUGCAGCAAAGGAAUUAUAGGUACAAUUUAUAUGCAUACAGUAAUUGCAAUUGUGAAAGAACAUAAGUUUGAAAUAAAUUGAAGACUUCUUGUGGAUAUAUCCUUUUUUAUCAUCUUCCCUUUUUUAUCUUAGUAAUAACACAACAUAAAAUCUACUUUUAAAAUUUUAAGUCUAUAAUACUUUAUCAUUGACUAUAGAUGUACAGUGUUAUACAGCAAAUCUUUAGAGCUUAUUCAUCUUGCUUGACCAAAACUUUAUGCCGUUGUUUGGGUACUUUCUGUUUCCCUCUCUCCGCAUCUUCUGGUAUCCACCGGUCCACUUUGAUUCUAUGAAGUAGAACCAGCAGUAUGUAUCUUUCUGUGACUGGCUUAUUUCACUUAGUAUAAUGCCCUCAAGGAUCAUCCAUGCUGUUCUGAAUUGCAGAAUUUUCUUCAUUUUUAAAGCUGAAUGGUAUUUGGUUAUACAUAUUUUCUUUAUCCAUUCAUCGGUCAAUGGAUAUUUUGGUUGUUUUCCCAUUUUUAGUAUCUUAAUAGUAUAUGACCAAUCCUUAUUUGAGCUCUAAAUCUGAAUGAGAAAUUAUAUAACAAAGCAAACUCAUUCAUAGGAUUAUUUUAGACUAACAUUUCUUUGAUUGACAUGGAAGAUUUUCUUAAAGGAAAAUAAUUUUGAAAAUAAAAGUACUUUCCUGUCAAACUGAGUUAUGUGGCUACCAUAAGAAGUGCCUAUAAGGAGAAUAAGAAAUGCUUUUUUAAGAGAUACCUGGUCCCCGCAUGAAGCAAAUUGACUUUGAAAAGAACUAUCAGUGUACUCUGACAUUUAGUCUGUAUGUUCUUGCAAAUCAUGGUAAAAGCCUAAUAUUCAUUUGUAUUCGUCAAUUAACCAGUUACCAUAUGUGGAGGCAUUAUUAAAAUAACAAACUAUCACAUUAGGUUCCAUUUGCACUGAAAUUCUACUUCUCUUUGCUUAUUUCCUUAUAUAUUAAGGAGAAUAAUACUAAUACCUACAUUACAGAAUUGUUAUGAGCUAAUACAUGUAAUAAAAUAGCAGUUAUAGUAAGAACUCAAUAAAUAUGUGUUAUGCUUAUUAUCAUUUUUACCACAUUAUUUAUAGAAAAGGGAAACAACAGCAUUAUUGCUGCCAAUUUUAAAAUACGCUCUUUAGAAUAGUGUUUGGUGUUCUUUUCCUCUGAAGUUGACAAUGUGAAUUCAAAAAUUUUAUUUCACUUCUGUUAUUAAUUCACAGAGGAUUAAAACUGAUUCAAUCAGUACAUUUGUAGGAAAUUUAUUACUUCCACUUUGGGAUUUUAAAGUUUUAUUAAUAACACUUACUGUGGAAUAUUUUUAAUAUUUGAAUGUAUCUCUCCAAAUAGAAAAGCUAUAAAAAAGAAAGUGAAUAAACGAUCAGAAAUGAAAGCACCAACUAAUUCCUAACCUCUUUAUUAUGUAAAUUUUAAAAAAAACGAGAUUCCCUAUACUCUUCUGAAAAUGCAUUUCAGUGUUUUGAGUAAAUUUUUAUGAAUAUCUUGGGGUUCGGAAAAUUUUCAAACACAAAAAAGGUAUCUCAGAGCUUAUAAACUAAUACUUAGGAAAAACAAAAGUUUUUUAGCAAAUUCAAAAUCUUCUCUGUUUCCAAAAGACUAAAUUAGGGUAACUCACAUCUGCUUCUUCUUUGGAGAUGGAUUUCUAUUUGCAUCAGAGAAGAACCCAUUUCCAGAAUAAAAAUUUUCCUUUCCCCUCUCCAGGUUUUUUUUUUUUUUAAACUAGCGAGUCAACUUGAGAUUUUCAACAUUAGACAACUCAAAAGCCCAAUAGACCUUGUUUCCAACUGAGCUUGAAUUUCAGCCUGUGAAGUAAUCUUCUGUUCUUGAAGUUUUGAAAAUCUUUGAAGGAAGAAGUCUACUGUUGUAUUAGGUCCUACCUUUUAUGUCUUUUGUCUGAUAGUCUUUCAUUAGACAUCACCAUACUCUUAACAAAUUCACAAAUUCAUUAAAAGUUUGAAAUGAAGUUUUUUUUUUUUUACAUCUUUUUUUUAGUCUUUUAAAA